rnacentral:ribozyme from 1 species
AGAAAGAAACUGACUCACUGAGGGGUCUCGGAGUAGUGGAGGAAGCAGAUGGCAGGCAGUGUCGUGGGUGCACUCGCUGGGAGAUCGACAGGGAGAAAAGAAGA